AGCGAACGCUGGCGGCAGGCCUAACACAUGCAAGUCGAACGAACCUUUCGGGGUUAGUGGCGGACGGGUGAGUAACACGUGGGAACGUGCCUUUAGGUUCGGAAUAACUCAGGGAAACUUGUGCUAAUACCGAAUGUGCCCUUCGGGGGAAAGAUUUAUCGCCUUUAGAGCGGCCCGCGUCUGAUUAGCUAGUUGGUUGAGGUAAUGGCUCACCAAGGCGACGAUCAGUAGCUGGUCUGAGAGGAUGAUCAGCCACAUUGGGACUGAGACACGGCCCAAACUCCUACGGGAGGCAGCAGUGGGGAAUCUUGCGCAAUGGGCGAAAGCCUGACGCAGCCAUGCCGCGUGAAUGAUGAAGGUCUUAGGAUUGUAAAAUUCUUUCACCGGGGACGAUUAUGACGGUACCCGGAGAAGAAGCCCCGGCUAACUUCGUG
rnacentral:rRNA from 1 species